UACAGAGGGUGCAAGCGUUAAUCGUAAUUACUGGGCGUAAAGCGCACGUAGGCGGUUAGUUAAGUUGGAUGUGAAAGCCCCGGGCUCAACCUGGGAAUUGCAUUCAAAACUGGCUAACUAGAGUAUGUGAGAGGGGGGUAGAAUUCCAAGUGUAGCGGUGAAAUGCGAAGAGAUUUGGAGGAAUACCAGUGGCGAAGGCGGCCCCCUGGCACAAUACUGACGCUGAGGUGCGAAAGCGUGGGGAGCAAACAGG
rnacentral:rRNA from 1 species